rnacentral:lncRNA from 1 species
UUAGUUUGUAGGUGACAAGCAAAGCAUACAUUGACACUAUAUCUAGCGACGGCAAAUAAAAAAUUCCAGUAGAAUUGGGCUGCGACUGAGGAGGUAGACUCUGUUGCUGAGGCUGAGGAGGAAGCAGUUCUGAUAUCCACCGUGAUCGGAUCGUUCGUUAUCUGAGCAAACUGCUCCAAUCCCAACCUUCUGAUCCUGUGCUCUAUUCCCACCGCGACUACUCCCACAGCAGUCUUCCACGUGGACCCGAAUCGGAGGCAAAUUCGCCAACGACGGAGACGACGAUGUGGACCCAAAUGACUUCUGAUCCUGCAAUUCAGCCUCCGCGUCUCCUCCUCUCGAAUCCUAAUUGUUCGUGGCGCCACCAUCGCCGCCGCCGCGCAAGCAGUUAACAGAGGCAUAGUCGGAGAAGCCAUGGUUGAGCAUCGCCAAUUCGAGAGGUCCGCGAGCGAAGUUUUCCUUUCCACGACGACGAUUCGAGUGUUGCCAUUAACGUACCACAAUGACUUGUCAUGCGGCCGUAGUAGCUGCACAUCAGCCGGAGCCUGGACGCUGGCAAGAGAGGGUCGUCCCAGGAGUCGAUGUUGAGGGACCGCGGCGACGAGUCGAGCGAGUCUGGAGUGGCGGCUGGGAAUGAGAGAGAGAGUAGAGAGAAAGAGGAGGAGGUUUCAGAUUUGUGCGAGGG